rnacentral:rRNA from 1 species
AAUUACACGAACACCUAUUAACCCUUCCCCACUACUGAAUGAUUCUAUAAAAUAUAGAAAACACUAUGCUAGAACUAGUAACAAGAAUUUAACAUUCUCCUAAAUGUAAGUAUUAACCAAAAUGGAUUCUCCACUGGUAAUUAACGAAAAUGAACACACUACAGUAACUUCCUAGAAAACCCUGUAAAAACCCUUCGUCAACCUAACACCAGAACAUUGCCGGAAAGAUUAAAAGAGAAAGAAGGAACUCGGCAAAUUUUGAUCCCGCCUGUUUACCAAAAACAUCGCCUCUUGACUCUAAUAAGAGGUCCAGCCUGCCCAGUGACAAAGUUCAACGGCCGCGGUACCCUAACCGUGCGAAGGUAGCAUAAUCACUUGUUCUUUAAAUAAGGACUAGUAUCAAUGGCAUCACGAGGAUCGCACUGUCUCCUAUCUCUAAUCAGUGAAACUGAUCUCCUCGUGAAAAAGCGAGGAUAGAACUAUAAGACGAGAAGACCCCAUGGAGCUUUAAACCUUCCAGCAACUUAAUGAAAUACUCCUUUAUAAUUACAAAGAAAUGCCUACGGUUUUAAGUUGGGGCGACUGCGGGGUAAAAACCAACCCCCACGACGAAAAGACAUAAACCUUUAUCCAAGAGCCACUACUCUAAGAAUUAGGACACUAACGUAAAAUGACCCAUCAAUGAUCAACGAACCAAGUUACCCUGGGGAUAACAGCGCAAUCUACUUCAAGAGCCCAUAUCGACAAGUAGGCUUACGACCUCGAUGUUGGAUCAGGGUAUCCCAGUGGUGCAGCCGCUACUGAAGGUUC